UACGGGGGGGGCAAGCGUUGUUCGGAAUUACUGGGCGUAAAGGGCUCGUAGGCGGCCAACUAAGUCAGACGUGAAAUCCCUCGGCUUAACCGGGGAACUGCGUCUGAUACUGGAUGGCUUGAGUUUGGGAGAGGGAUGCGGAAUUCCAGGUGUAGCGGUGAAAUGCGUAGAUAUCGGGAGGAACAUCAGUGGCGAAGGCGGCUACCUGGCCCAAUACUGACACUCAGGUGCGACAGCGGUGGGGAGCAAACAGG
rnacentral:rRNA from 1 species